CAGUAGCCGCGGGAAUACGGAGGGUGCAAGCGUUAAUCGGAAUUACUGGGCGUAAAGCGCACGCAGGCGGUUUGUUAAGUCAGAUGUGAAAUCCCCGGGCUCAACCUGGGAACUGCAUUUGUGACUGUAUAGCUAGAGUACGGCAGAGGGGGAUGGAAUUCCGCGUGUAGCAGUGAAAUGCGUAGAUAUGCGGAGGAACACCGAUGGCGAAGGCAAUCCCCUGGGCCUGUACUGACGCUCAUGCACGAAAGCGUGGGGAGCAAACAGGAUUAGAUACCCGCGUAGUCCCUGUCUCUUAUAC
rnacentral:rRNA from 1 species